rnacentral:rRNA from 1 species
CCUACGGGAGGCAGCAGUGGGGAAUAUUGGGCAAUGGAGGCAACUCUGACCCAGCAACGCCGCGUGAAUGAUGAAGGUCUUCGGAUUGUAAAGCUCUUUUCUCAGGGAAGAAGAAAGCGACGCUACCUUAGGAAUAAGCCUCGGCUAACUACGUGCCAGCAGCCGCGGUAAUACGUAGGAGGCAAGCGUUAUCCGGAAUGACUGGGCGUAAAGGGUGCGUAGGUGGUUUGACAAGUUAGUAGCGCAACUCCGGGGCUCAACUUCGGAACUGCUACUAAAACUGGUGGACUUGAGUGCAGGGGGGGCAGGCGGAAUUCCUAGUGUAGCGGUGGAAUGCGUAGAUAUUAGGAGGAACACCAGUGGCGAAGGCGGAUUGCUGGACUGUAACUGACGCUGAGGCACGAAAGCGUGGGGAGCAAACAGGAUUAGAUACCCUGGUAGUC